rnacentral:lncRNA from 1 species
GUGCUCUUCUAUGGAUACAUUCCAAUCUUUCUGUGCCUUUCCUAAAAUCUGAUACACAGAACUAAAAUCUCUAUUCCUUCCCAAAAAAUUGUUAGUUAGGGGGCCAGCUGAGUGGCUUAGUGGUUUGAGAACCAGGUCUAGAGAUGGGAGGUCCUAGGUUCAACUCUGGCCUCAGACACUUCUCAGCUGUGUGACCCUGGGUAAGUCACUUACCCCCAUUGCUUAGCUCUUACCACUCUUUUGCCUUGGAACCAAUACACCAGGGGUCCCCAAACUAUGGCCCUUGGGCCACAUGUAGCCCCCUGAGGCCAUGUAUCGGGCCCCCACCACACUUCUGGAUGGGGCACCUCUUUCAUUGGUGGUCAGUGAGAGGAGCUCUGUAUGUGGUGUCACUCACCUACAGUACUACUUCUGGUGACGUAAUCCUUUGUAUGGUGCCUUAGAAUGAGGUGCUGCACAAAGGAUUAUGUGGCUUCACAAUGGAAGAUGUCAGCAUGGUGAGCAGCGAUCUGGGGGAGGGAAUUCUGCACUGUGUAUACUGCUGCCCAGUUAGGGUUAGAGUUAGGCUUUUAUAGUCCUCCAAUGAUCUGCGGGACAGUGAACUGGCCCCCUGGGUAAAAAGUUUGGGGACCCCUGCCACACAGUAUAGAUUCUAAGGCAGAAGGACUUUUCAAUUGGAAGGAAUAUCAGAAAUCAUGUAGUCCAGUGUCCCCGGAGAAGAGAAUGACAGGCCACUCCAGCACCUUUGCCAAGAAAACUCCAAAUGAGAUCAUGAAGAGUAGGACAUGAUGGAAAACAAGUGAAGGACAACAAAAGUCAGCCUCCAAAUCCUACCGAAAUCUGCCCCACAACAUCCCUAAUAGGUAACAUCUUUGGACCUGGAGUGUUAUUCCUAAAAGUGUUUAUCAGAAGAUAGGUGGCAUGUGAAAUGGACUAUGAAGGAAGGCUACAUAGUGAAAUGGAUAAAGAGUUGGCCUUUGGGUUAGGAAGAACUGGGUUUAAGUCUCUCUUUAGACAAAUACUGGCUCUGAGAUCCUGGACAAGUUUCAUCAUUGUUAUUACGAGAAUGGCCUUUGGAUUACUAUGGAGAUAG